rnacentral:piRNA from 1 species
UUGGAUUCUGGUCCUACAUUA